rnacentral:rRNA from 1 species
AAUCUUCCGCAAUGGAUGAAAGUCUGACGGCACAACGCCGCGAGAGUGAUGAAGGUUUUCGGAUCGUAAAACUCUGUUGUUAGGGAAGAACAAGUAUCGGAGUAACGGCCGGUACCUUGACGGUACCUAACCAGAAAGCCACGACUAACUACGUGCCUUCACCCGCGGUAAUACGUAGGUGGCAAGCGUUGUCCGGAAUUAUUGGGCGUAAAGCGCGAGCAGGCGGUCGUUUAAGUCUGAUGUGAAAGCCCCCGGCUCAACCGGGGAGGGUCAUUGGAAACUGGGAGACUUGAGUGCAGAAGAGAAGAGUGGAAUUCCACGUGUAGCGGUGAAAUGCGUAGAGAUGUGGAGGAACACCAGUGGCGAAGGCGACUCUUUGGUCUGUAACUGACGCUGAGGCGCGAAAGCGUGGGGAGCAAA